rnacentral:lncRNA from 1 species
CCAAUUAAUUCCUAAGGUUGUGAACUUCAAUUAUGUUGAAAGGUUGUCUUUUGAAAAAUAUGUGUAGAUGGUUGUGUCUUUUCUAAAAGUUAUAUGUUGUAAGGUUGUGUCCUUCUAAAAAUAGUUUAAAAGUUGUGACUAUUCACUAAUAUCUUUUAAAAAGUGAGAAAUUGUGAGUAUAAGAAUGUGACUAUUCAUAUUGAAGGGUUGUGACUAUUUAAAUAGGCUUUAAAAAAUCUAUAAAUAGUCUCUCCCAUGCAUUUUUCAAAUCAAAUUUUCACUAAUCUAUUAAUAAUAAAAUGGUGAAAAAAAUAAUGUCAAAGUUGCAACUUUUCAUCUAAACAAAGUGCAUUUUCAUCUCAAAGUGGGAUUGCUUUAAAAAAUAUCUACUAAUAAUAGAAAUCCCAAUUAAUUCCAAUGGUUGUGAGUCCACUUAUGUUGAAAGGUUGUGUCUUUUGAAAAAGAAGUGUAAAGGGUUGUGUCUUUUCUAAAAGUUCUAUGUUGGAAGGUUGUGUCUUUUCCAAUUAAUUUCUAAGGUUGUGAAUCCACUUAUGUUGAAAGGUUGUGUCUUUUGAAAAAGUAGUGUAAAGGGUUGUGUCUUUUCUAAAAGUUCUAUGUUGUAAGGUUGUGUCUUUUCCAAUUAAUUCCUAAGGUUGUGAACUUCAAUUAUGUUGAAAGGUUGUCUUUUGAAAAAUAUGUUUAAAGGGUUGUGUCUUUUCUAAAAGUUAUAUGUUGUAAGGUUGUGUCCUUCUAAAAAUAGUCUAAAAGUUGUGACUAUUCACUAAUAUCUUUUAAAAAGUGAGAAAUUGUGAGUAUAAGAAUGUGACUAUUCAUAUUGAAGGGUUGUGACUAUUCAAAUAGACUUUAAAAAAUUUAUAAAUAGUCUCUCCCAUGCAUUUUUCAAAUCAAAAUUUCACUAAUCUACUAAUAAUAAAAUGGUGAAAAAAAUAAUGUCAAAUUUGCAACUUUUCAUCUAAACAAGGUGUCUUUUCGUCUCAAAGUGGGAUUGCUUUAAAAAAUGUUGGUUUUAUUUAAGUAAUGUGUUAGUUUAUAUAAUAAGUGUUAGUAUUUUAUAAGAACUCUCCCAAAAAUUAAAAAAAAAUAU